GGAGAGGUGGCAGAGUGGUUGAAUGUGGCGGUCUCGAAAACCGUUGUGCGCAAAAGUGCACCGAGGGUUCGAAUCCCUCCCUCUCCG
rnacentral:tRNA from 1 species